GGAGGACUAUAGCUCAGUAGCCGAGCAUCUGCUUUGCCUGCAGAGGGUCCCAAGUUCAAUCCCUGACAUCUCUA